rnacentral:rRNA from 1 species
UACAGAGGGUGCGAGCGUUAAUCGGAAUUACUGGGCGUAAAGCGUGCGUAGACGGUAGCGUAAGUCAGAGGUGAAAGCCCCGGGCUCAACCUGGGAAUUGCAUUUGAGACUGCUCUGCUCGGGUGCGGAAGAGGGAAGCGGAAUUUCCGGUGUAGCGGUGAAAUGCGUAGAUAUCGGAAGGAACACCAGUGGCGAAAGCGGCUUCCUGGUCCGACACCGACGUUCAGGCACGAAAGCGUGGGGAGCAAACAGG